UGGCCUGACAUGACUUCUAUAAUGGCUUACAGGCUAUUGGCUUGUUAAUUGGGGUUGAAGAUGUUUCACCGGAAAAACAAGCUGAUUUUCUUUCGGCAUUGCUUAAUCCCCUUUGCCAGCAGGUGGAGGUGUUGCUGCAAAAUGCCAAACUUCACGAUUCUGAAGAAUCUCCUGCAAAGAUUGCUAACAUUCAGCAAAUCAUCAUGGCGAUUAAUGCCCUGAGCAAGGGAUUCAGUGAGCGGCUUGUGAAUUCUUGAUCUCAUCUGAGUUCCCUUCCUGCU